UCCUUAGAUGUUCUGGGCUGCACGCGUGCUACACUGAUGCGUUCAUCGAGUUUACGCCCUGGCCCGGCAGGGUUGGGUAAUCUUUUGAAAACGCAUCGUGAUGGGGAUAGAUUAUUGCAAUUAUUAAUCUUCAACGAGGAAUUCCUAGUAAGCGCGAGUCAUCAGCUCGUGCUGAUUACGUCCCUGCCCUUUGUACACACCGCCCGUCGCUCCUACCGAUUGGAUGGUCCGGUGAAGCCUCGGGAUUGUGGUUCUUGCCGCUUUAUUGUGGCGUGACCGCGAGAACUUGUCUAAACCUUAUCAUCUAGAGGAAGGUGAAGUCGUAACA
rnacentral:rRNA from 1 species